rnacentral:rRNA from 1 species
AUUGAACGCUGGCGGCAGGCUUAACACAUGCAAGUCGAACGAGUGGCGGACGGGUGAGUAAUGCUUGGAAAUCUAGCUUAUGGAGGGGGAUAACUACGGGAAACUGUAGCUAAUCCCGCUUACCAUAGGAUGAGCCCCAGUGGGAUUAGGUAGUUGGUGAGGUAAAGGCUCACCAAGCCGACGAUCUAUAGCUGGUCUGCGAGGAUGACCAGCCACACUGGGACUGAGACACGGACCAGACUCCUACGGGAGGCAGCAGUGGGGAAUAUUGCGCAAUGGGGGCAACCUGACGCAGCCAUGCCGCGUGAAUGAAGAAGGUCUUCGGGUUGUAAAGUUCUUUCAGUCGGGAGGCGUUACCGACAGAAGAAGCAACGGCUAACUCCGUGCCAGCAGCCGCGGUAAUUC